GGCGUAGGUGGCUUUGUAAGUCAGAAGUGAAAGCCCUGGGCUCAACCCGGGAAGUGCUUUUGAUACUGCGAAGCUUGAAUGUGGUAGAGGAUAGUAGAAUUCCUAGUGUAGUGGUGAAAUACGUAGAUAUUAGGAGGAAUACCUGUGGCGAAGGCGGCUAUCUGGACCAACAUUGACACUGAGGCCCGAAAGCGUGGGGAUCAAACA
rnacentral:rRNA from 1 species